rnacentral:rRNA from 1 species
GGGAUUGCCUUAGUAACGGCGAGUGAAGCGGCAACAGCUCAAAUUUGAAAUCUGGCGUCUUUGGCGUCCGAGUUGUAAUUUGUAGAGGAUGCUUCGGCGUAGGCGCCGCCUAAAGUUCCUUGGAACGGGACGUCGUAGAAGGUGAUAGCCCUGUGACAGGGCGGAUGCCGUCGCCAUGUGAAGCUCCUUCGACGAGUCGAGUUGUUUGGGAAUGCAGCUCAAAACGGGAGGUAAAUUUCUUCUAAAGCUAAAUACCGGCCGGAGACCGAUAGUGCACAAGUAGAGUGAUCGAAAGAUGAAAAGCACUUUGGAAAGAGAGUCAAACAGCGCGUGAAAUUGUUAAAAGGGAAGCGCUUGCGGUCAGAACUUGGCCGCCGUUGCUCGGGGAGGUCUCGUGCCUCCCUCGCUCUUCGGCGGCUGGGCCAGCAUCGGUUCGGGCGGCUCGAUAAAGGCCGCGGGAACGUAGCUCCCUCCGGGGAGUGUUAUAGCCCGCGGCGGAAUGGGGCCCGCCUGGAUCGAGGUCUGCGCAUCUGCUCGGAUGCUGGCGUAAUGGCCUCAAGCGGCCCGUCUUGAAACACGGACCAAGGAGUCUAACAUUCGUGCGAGUGUUCGGGUGUCAAACCCGUGCGCGCAAUGAAAGUGAACGUAGGUGGGAACCCCUCGUGGGCGCACCAUCGACCGAUCCUGAUGUCUUCGGAUGGAUUUGAGUAUGAGCACGUAUGUUGGGACCCGAAAGAUGGUGAACUAUGCGUAAACAGGGCGAAGCCAGAGGAAACUCUGGUGGAGGCUCGCAGCGGUUCUGACGUGCAAAUCGAUCGUCAAAUUCGCGCAUAGGGGCGAAAGACCAAUCG